UGCCGGCUAAAAGUCGGAGGAAGUGGGAUGACGUCAAAUCAUCAUGCCCCUUAUGACCUGGGCUACACACGUGCUACAAUGGCGGUACAAAGGGUCGCGAACCCGCGAGGGGAGCCAAUCCCAAAAAGCCGCUCUCAGUUCGGAUUGCAGGCUGCAACUCGCCUGCAUGAAGCCGGAAUCGCUAGUAAUCGCGGAUCAGCAUGCCGCGGUGAAUACGUUCCCGGGCCUU
rnacentral:rRNA from 1 species